GAAAUGUAACAGUUCUAAUAAUCUCAUGAGCGAAUAUAAGACACUUCCAUCAAUAAAGGGCUAUAACUCAACGCCCUUUGCUUAAUAUAUAAUAUUCAUGAAAAAUGAAAAAACAUGAGAGGCAUACUACUCUACACUAAUCACUGCCUUCGGCUUUUUUCGUAAUCCGAUCUUCAAGCUGUUUGACCCGGAUUGACCUUUCGUUGCUACUGAAGCAAAUAUGGCUGCAUAUUGAUGAAAGGAUAUUUUUUACCAACUUUACCAGUAAAUGAGGACAAACACAAUCAAAAUGGUGACACAAUAGAUAACAGCACAGUGCUAAGAUUGAAUCAGAAUGAAUAAAACAAAAAGUUUUUAUUAGCUACAUCAACCAGAAGAACUUUUCACAUGAUUAUUGAUUUAGUUUCCUUGGAGAUUUUAACAGUAAUUGUUAAAACUUGAAAUCAGACAGAAGGAAACUUUGAGAAAAUUUACAUAUACAGUGUACAUGUAGCUUCAAUAUGAAUCAAUUGAUUGGUACACUAUCACAAUGAUGUCAACCUGAUCUUUGGAAGAUUAUCAAGUUACAUGAGAAGCAUUGAAAGCCUGUAGAUUAUAUACACAAAUGGAAUAGACUCACACUUUCAAAAAACUUUCAGACAAGACAGUGACUAAUGCAAUCUCAAACAAGGAUCAUUCAUGUUUCAAUGAGUGAAUUGGAGUGCAUACCAGUUGCGCAUGAAACUUUGUGUGCAUUUUUUAAUAUCAAUUUCCAUUUUAUUAAUUGUUUUGAAAAAAUUGUAUGUCUUCAUAAUUUUAUCAUGAACAUAUUGUUGUUAAUAAUUAAAAAAGAAAUAAAGAA